ensembl:lncRNA
UUACGUUAUUUAUUAACAAGUUAUUAACCCACACUUCAGAGAAAAUAACUGGAAAUUUCAAGCUAUUAAGUCAAAUCUUUUAGCUUGAAAUUAUGACUUAGCUCUGCCUGGCUUUUGGUUUUUUCCCCUUGCAUAAGGGAAGCCCUUUAUCAAUGUCUAGUGCAGGUUUAUCUGUGGAAAUAUGAAAAUCACCACAAAGGGAUAAGCUGUGAAGAUUCUGGCCAAAUAUGAUGGAAACUAACAUGAAGAAAAGAAAGUGAAACAGUGGAAAUAUUGAGAAACUACCUAUAACCGGGUGAAGCUGGCAGAAGGUGAUUCUCAGGAGGUUUUGUCUCUUUUGUUAGAGUCAUAUUUCAGUUUGGCACAUUGGAAAAUAUAGUGUGAAGUGACACAGGAGGUGAGAGUGUCAUAACUGAUGCUGCAGGAAGCAUCCCCAGGUUUACAUUUGUGGUGCCAAAGACGAGCCAACUCUGACAGUGCUCAAUCAAUCAAGUCUUUAUCUCAAACAAAAAACAAGUGUUCAUACAUUAAACGUGAAAUCAAAGUCAUCAUUUUCACGUGGAAAAAAUAAAAAUGUUGACAUUUGCUGUUUGAAAAGGAGGCGGCGAAAACAAAUGCUUAUGAAUUCCUAACCCAUAUUUUAUCUCGGUUUUAAUUAUACAAUCUAAAAUAUAAUAUAUGCUAUAAAUAAAUAUGCCUAACACACAGAUUCAUGUUGUACUUAAAUACAUUUUAUAUAUAACUUCUACAAUUAUUUAACCACCAUAUUUCAUAUUUCCAGAAGUAUUGCUUUUUACAUUACACACAAUUAUUUUUUAAUGCAUCACCACAUAAAUAUUCAAUACGCUAUCUCAUCCCUAUUGUUGAAGUUUUAGUUUCACUGUUAGUUUAGCAUAGGUGGGAAGAUUCAGAAAGUAUUUCCAUAAAAAUAAAACUUUCGUCUUGUCAGUUGUCUAAACCCUAUUUUUCACCCUUUCGAAGUCUAUGUUUUUUUUUAUUUUUUCGUACCAGUUAACCAAGUUGUUUUUUCCCCGUGACUAAAGUAUAAAGAAGGGCUACUUUAUUUAAAGCCUAGUUUUGCUUUUCAUAUUUUAGUUCUAUACAUUUCAUAAAUAUUCACAAGUGCUGUUUUCAUUAUCUUCAUUAGUAAAUGAUGGGUACGAGUGUGUUGUCUCAGUUUUAAUUAAAGUAUAAGAGUACUUCACCAGAUGAAGGUGAAGAGUGACUAACUCAGCUCUGCCCUCCAGAGGCUCAUUUGCAGAUUUUAGAAAAUGUUAGCUGGUAAUGGUGCACACAGGCAUAAAACAUGUUAAAGAAGGACUAAAAUGCUUUCACAUAUUAUAGUGUAAGACAAGUCACUUACUAUUAUUCAUCGUGCCAAGCAUUAAGCAUGUGCAAUGCAUUUAAUCAAUGUAGCAAAAUCUCUGCAUCCAGCAACUCGAGUAAGAGGUUUAGAACAAAGUCCUUUAUUUUUUGUGCCUCAAAACAAGAUCCCUAUAAUAAAACACCUUUUCACUGGAGCUUAACGUUUGACACUUUAUUCAACAACACAAUGAUAUCUAAAUGUUUUUAGUUUGCACAAAAUUUUUAAUCUCUUGUACCAAGUUUUUUUUUUUUAAACCAGGACUCUGUAGCUUUACAAGCUUCUUCAGCUAAAAGAGUUAGUCUCACAUUUUAUUUUUUACUCUUUGCAUUACUUUACUUUGGAUUGCAACACCUUGAUUUUCUUUUUUAGGCAUUCUGUAGAUUUGCUCCAGUUCUUGGGAACAUUAUCAUAUUAAAUGAACCAAUUUCAGUCAUCUUUUAGCUGUUUAUAGACGAUGUGAAGCCAUCUGAGUGCAUGGCCGACUCAGUGACUGCAACGUGCACAUGUCCUGUUGCUGCAAAACAAGCUAAAAUCACGACCCCUCCACCACUGUGCUUGACAGCUGGUAUGAGGUGGUGAGUUGAUAUGCCACGUAUGGUUCUCUCUGUUCUUCAUGGACAAACAUCUCUACUUUGGUCUCAUCUGGCCAAAGGACAUUGCUCCAGAGGUCGGGUGGUUUGUUCAAGCCAUGCUGCCAUGUUCUUUUUAGAGAGAAGUCUCUUGAAGCAUUUCCAAACAAGUCGGUCCUUUUGCAAGCGAGCUGUUAUGAACUUUAACAUGCAGUGGCCUGUAGUCUUCAAAAGAAAAAAUAUAAAACAAACACUUCACACAGAAACCCCAGCACGCUACAUUUCAAAGCUUUGCUGUCUAACCUCGAGGUAAAUUUGCUAAGAUGCCCACUCCUGGAAAGAAUAGGGCAUGUUAACACUCACCUGCAUGCUCCAGAACAAUAAAACCGCUGCUCUUAUAGAAGCGCUCACGCGUGUAUGAAAUAAAGAAAAGACUCCUCUUAAAUGUACAAAGUUUUAUUCAGAAGUAACAAAGUGGACUCUUUAUGUACUUACAGAAGUUUCCACAAAAAGAAUCAAGGCCCACAAAAGAAAGGCUGAACUGUGAUUUGAGGAGGGUGUGACUCACUUUAGAUAAACUUUGAUCCCAUGCAGGAAGAAGUGUUAGAGCUGAAGCAGAACAGAAAAGUUACCUGCUACAUGGACAAUGAUCAGCUACUUUGGUCGAAAAUGAGAGGAAGGGGGGGGGGGGGGGGUAAUUGUUCUACGAGCAGGAACCACAUAGACAAAGAAAAAGGCAUUUGGUGGGGAAAAAAAGUAAAUUGGAGGCAGAUUAUGUUGUGCUGGGAAGUUGGAUAAGGGGGUGGAGUAUGAAGUAAGGGCAGAUCGGUGAGGUCACCAUCAAUCAGAAGAAUGUGAGGAGAAAAAGAAAUAUGCAAAUGUGUUUAUGUGUGAGGAGGGGAGCUGUCAGUUCAAAAGAGGGAGAGAGGCUGAGAGAAAAUGACAGACGUGGCCCGAGGAAAGGAAAGGCGCGUUUGAGAAAGACAACCCCUGGGAGGCUGCACGGUGAACCCACUGCCCCGUCUCAGCCCUCCUCCUCCUCCCCGCCUGUGUGCUUUGCCAUGGUUACCAGACAGGGCUCCCAAUGCAGCCAGUUAAUGCGUUUUUCAGCAGCAGGAGCGAGCUGCGUACUAAUGUGUCUCAGUCUGUCUCCUGCACAAUCAAUGUCAACUGUCCUGGGAUGCACAAACACAUGGAGGGCUGCGAGCCAGGGAACACAGAGCCACCCUGGCUGAGCGUCAGAGGCUGAAAGAAGGCUGCAUCGCUUUCAUUUUUAGUCACCUGGAAAGUUUUACUUGCAUUAUCUGCAGAAGCCUUGAGUCACAUGUCGAUCUUUCUUACACAGGUAUGAAAUGUUGAAAAAGUAUCCCACAAGAUAAAGGAACACAGCUUAUUAGUUUGAAAUGCUUUCAAGUGCUCUUAUAUUUAUUGGAUUCACAAGGCAUUUAAAUACAAUAACACAUCACAUCCAUAAAAAUACUGGAUGUACCAACAUCUAACUUAAAAUUUGCCAGUUUUCUGUUAACCUAAAGAGCUAAUUUAGUCUUAAAGUGUAGAAAAGAAACAUGAAUAAUUCCCUAUCGUUUUCAGGAAUGUGUUAAAAGGGAACUCGCACAAAUUUUCAGCUGCCAUGAGGAGCUUAAAACUCUCCCUAAAGGUUCCAAUGUUGUAGUUUUCCAUCUCUGGAGUUAAAGAAGUCCUGUGCGAAUCAUAUCGGGGUCACGACCAUUGGCUGUCUUUAUUAAAAGAUGGCUGAUACUCAGAGCACAAAGCCGGCCAAAAGGUUCUGCCCCCUGGAGAGAACCAUGCUGUCUCUUCUCAGCUUUUCCAGGAUGAGUGGGAAGGUUAGGAAACUCUCUGGAGAUCAUUCUGCACACUCUGGAGCUUUUACUUUUGCUGGUCUUUAUUAAAGAACAUUGUUUUUGGCAUCCAGAAGCAAAUGCAU